AAAUUCAAAUUAUUCUCUGGAUUUGAUUUCUUAUUAAAUAAGAUUUAGAUCAAGUCAAUAGCCUUAAUCCUUACCUAAUCUAUUUGGGUCAAGAGGGGCAUCACAUUGGGCACCUCAAUAGGAUUAGGUUAAGCCAAUUAGUUGGCUCAUUUCCUUUUUUUCUUCCAUGACUUGGCACAGAUUUUUUUGUAAAGAAUCAAGUUGGGUGCAUGCCAUCUCGGGAUAAGAUAAAGAGGAGCACACGCCUCAUGUGCAUGGCACAUGAAAUUGCAUGAAGAAGUGAGAGGGGCACAUGCCCCUCUUUGAUUUCAGCUUGUGG
rnacentral:lncRNA from 1 species